UACAGAGGGGGCAAGCGUUGUUCGGAAUUACUGGGCGUAAAGGGCGCGUAGGCGGCCUGCUAAGUCGAACGUGAAAUCCCCAGGCUCAACCUGGGAACUGCGUCCGAUACUGACAGGCUUGAAUCCGGGAGAGGGAUGUGGAAUUCCAGGUGUAGCGGUGAAAUGCGCAGAUAUCAGGAGGAACACCGGUGGCGAAGGCGGAUCUCUGGGCCUUACCUGACGCUGAGGCGCGAAAGCUAGGGGAGUGAACAGG
rnacentral:rRNA from 1 species